rnacentral:rRNA from 1 species
GAUGAACGCUGGCGGCGUGCCUAAUACAUGCAAGUCGAGCGAACGGACGAGAAGCUUGCUUCUCUGAUGUUAGCGGCGGACGGGUGAGUAACACGUGGAUAACCUACCUAUAAGACUGGGAUAACUUCGGGAAACCUGAGCUAAUACCGGAUGAUAUUUUGAACCGCAUGGUUCAAAAGUGAAAGACGGUCUUGCUGUCACUUAUGGAUGGAUCCGCGCUGCAUUAGCUAGUUGGUAAGGUAACGGCUUACCAAGGCAACGAUGCAUAGCCGACCUGAGAGGGUGAUCGGCCACACUGGAACUGAGACACGGUCCAGACUCCUACGGGAGGCAGCAGUAGGGAAUCUUCCGCAAUGGGCGAAAGCCUGACGGAGCAACGCCGCGUGAGUGAUGAAGGUCUUCGGAUCGUAAAACUCUGUUACUAGGGAAGAACAAAUGUGUAAGUAACUGUGCACAUCUUGACGGUACCUAAUCAGAAAGCCACGGCUAACUACGUG